CAGUGAAUACAUGGAUUUACAGCCUGUUAAAGAAUACAUGAAUGAUACACCAGAAUAUGACCUACUGCAAAGUAAUCAAUAUGGUACAGCUCAGCUGCGAAGUGAUGGCGACAAUGCGAUGGUUUCAAAGCAGAUUCCUAACAAUCACUCAGAACACACGUACCACAAUACAGUUGAAGAACAGCAACACGUUGAUGAUACAAAAGUUUAUGAAAACCUGAAGUUAUAAAAACGAAAUAGACACUCCAGCAGAUAUGUUAUUUUUAGAUAAAAGGCAUUCAAUAUUAUGUCUUUAUGUGUUUAACUGAGCAACAAACAUUUGAAUACUUAAUGCCUUAAAACAAUAUUCUUCUGUUGUGCUGUACAUUAAAACCAUUCGCGUAUGAAACUAUCGUUUUAAAAGUACAAAUAAGGUAAUCUUCUAACAUGACCGACUCGGUUAGAUUGAGCCUUUUCAUAGACGGCAGCAUAAAACUAUCGAAGAAUAUUGUUUAUUACAUGUAUUUUAUAGAAUAUAAAUUUAACUUUAUAUAGUAUAAUUUCUCACAUUAUCAAUAUACGACAGUGCUUUACCCAACUUAAGCUUUAAUAGAAUUUUAUACAGAUUUUAAAAAUAGUUUAAAUGUGAGUCUAUGUUAAUGUAGCGUGCUUUGAAGAAUGAAGUAGUUAAUCUGGUACUUAUACUCACUUCACUGACGAUGCUAGCAUUGGGAAUUGUAGUUUGUAGAUUGUUUGCUUAGUGUAUUUAUAUUGUAUUUUAAUACUGUACUAGACUUUUGUUCGCAAUACGAUUCUCGAAAUAUUUCUGUAUUGAGGUUUAUGGGAUUGAACUAGGUCACUAAAGUAAACGAUAGAGAUGUCAGAAUGUUGCCUUUAUAAAGUUAAGUUCGUUCAGCUUUCUAGGUUCACAUGAAGAUCCUUAUAUUAAAUUAGAACAAACGACCUUGUUAAUAAUAUAGAUGCCAAGUUUUCUACUUGAUCCUUAUGAAACUUGGUCCUUAUUAGAUCUAGAUCAAAGCUGACAAUUUUAAAAUUAUCUAGGUAUAAAAGCGAUUUUACAAAGUCAAAUUAUUGAAAAGAUUUUACUUUAUGUAAACCGUUUUGUCUAACUUGUUCAAAACAUGGUAAGUGUAGGAUUGGCUUGACCCCAAUGCCUUUAAACCCCAAGUUUUCUUCGUGUAGGUUACUGACCGUACCAAGACAGUGCUCCUAUUUUCAACCUGCUUUGUGUCCGUUUCGUAUAAAAUUUUAUACAUGUAUUAUGUUAUGUAUAUUUCCUUUUAAGUUGGUUGGGUUACUUCUCUUAUUUCUCACCCCGUCCCCGCCCUCUUUUACAUCCCAAUUUCCUUUUUACUAUGAGUGAGGUUAUGAACCCCGUAUUUACUGGACGGAGCUGAUGAUUUUGCCAUCGCCCGUCCCUAAUCGGUGUCUCACUGUGUCCCCUUCACCUUUUUUGUUCGUUUUUAGCCAGGUUUUUAAGAACAACUGGUUAUUAGAUUGCCGAAUGUCGUCCGGGUUUCUGCUCAUAAACUUGGGUUAGGAGUGACCGAUUACAAUAAAACUUGGUAUAUAGAUAGCUUGCAUAGAGACAGAGUGUGAGAUUUCAUAUGAGGUUACUAGGUUUAAGGUCAAGGUCACUGUUGCUAAAAUAGUAAAAUAGUAUCCGCUCAGGUGUGAAAAUGCAAAACCUUAACUGCUUUUUAGCUUAGGUAAAUCGAAAUUAAAUGACCUUUAUUACUACAUUGAAUAUUGAUGUAACGCAGAGUCGAUACUUAUAUGUUUGAAGUAGUGUUGCUUCUUUAGAGCGACUAAACUACACAUUGUGGUGUGAGAUUUUAUAAAAUCAAACGUUUCCUAGAUUCACCUUUAUGUUGCAUAUUUGAUGUUCUAACAAUUUAUUUUUCAUCGAUUUCUGUUGAAAAUUGUUGAAUUCUUAAUAAGGUAAAAAUAGAAACAUUCAUCUACUGUUUCUGAUAAGGGUUUCGCGGUUUAUAAAAAACGGAAUUCCGUUCAGCGAGAUUCAAACAUCACGUGACAGUGAGAACAUGAUAAUCAAUAGAGAGCAGAAGUAUAGGUUUCGCGUAGUAUUGUUGCGUUUUGAAAAAAAUAACUUAAAAAUGAAUUUAAGUCAGUACACUACGUUUAUGAUGCAGUUAGCGAUUCCUCGUUGGCCAAGCGGAAACGGUAUUUGCAGUAUACUUUUUCGUUGGGAGUUCGAUUUCCAAACCCGUAAAAAGGUUGUUUUUAAAACUGUAUAUAAUUUCUUAUUUUCAAUACGAUUCAACGAAAGCAAAACAAGUUAGUUAAUUUAGUUCUAACUUAUAUUUGUCAAUAUUGACACGUAGUUAUGUUUAAAUACACUGCGCUUUUAAUAUGAUUCUAUGUUUUUCAAGGUAUCCUGUGAUAUUUUUAAGCUGUACGUGUUAGUUUUAUACAUUUUAUAUCAACCUUGUGAAGAUCCUACCGAUUUCAUACGAAAAGAAGAAAUAAAGCAAUGAAUUAGAAACCAGAGAAGAACAAACAUACACAAAGUAUGUAAUGCCAAAAAGAAAAAUGUUGGUCGAAUGCAAGGUUCGAUCCGUCAAAACUGUAUCACUACAAAAUGAGUAUGUAUCCAUCCACUCAACCUACUUUUCCAUCAAGCCAAUUGUUGAUUUCCAUCGUAUAUCUUUAUUUUAUGUAUAUGUAUUGCUUAAAUUAAAAACGACAUAAUACUGUGAGCUACCUAUAGAUACGUGUGCGCUCUAUUAAUAGUGACGGAAACAAAACAUACGUAUGCGCAAUUUUGAUUUGCUGCCCACGUGCUUAAAAUGACUUAAAUUAUUGUCGCGUCUCGUUCUAUAUUUAUAUCAAUGUUUACAAAAUAAAACGUUGCAACGGUUUAUAAAAUUGAAUGAGAAAAUCUGCGAAAACUCUAAUGCUGGGAAGUAGAAACUAAUCAACCAUUAAGUUUCAUAUAAAUAUAUGAAACAGUGGCGGCAUUUUUCCUUUCGAUCAUUAUUUUAAAAAUCACAAUCACAAUAUGUGGGUUAGUCGUUUUAACCCUUAGCUUGCUUAAUUUCUAAAAUGGACUGGUCAGUCUUUCAAUUUAGGCAUACCAUUUAUCAUUCAUAUGGGUUUACAGACUGAAUAGCAAACAGUGCAGACCAAUGAGAUGUGCAGGCUGAUCUUGGUCUGCACUGGUCGCAAAGACAAAAUCACUUGCCACCAGCUGGCUAAAGGUUAAUAAAUGUUUUGUAUAGUAUAGAUGGUAACAUGUUGACCAUGAAAAGAAUUUGCCAGUCGCCACGGAAUAAUUGAGGUUAGAAAUCGUAUUUUAAAUCAGUGACUGUAUAAAUCUUUGUAUGAUUUAUAAUCAUUAAAAUGGUAAUCAAAACCCUUCCUUGUUGAACAAAAAAUGGUAGUACCACAUAUCACCGAUUUUAAGCCUUAAAAUCUGAAUAAAAGCAAUAUGAUUAUAUUUGUAAUGUUGAAACGCUAUUAACUGCAGUUUCUAACGCUCAUAUUUCUUAUUUGAGUGAUUCUUCUAUAGUUUGCUUACCACAAGGUGAGAUUUCUACAUUAAAUUACGAUGGAACGCUGCUGAUAAUAAAGCAUAAAUAAGACAGUGAUGAAUGAUCAAUGUCAAGCGGUACAAGGAUAACUGACAACUCACUAUGAUCAGAAAUGUAGGUACGAACUGCUCGCUAUAUAAACAGUGCAAAUAUAACACAUUAUAUAAUAAUUUGUCUGAGACCAGAUAUACGAAACGUGGUGAGAAUGCUUGAAUCUAUAAAAUUUAAAUCAAGAUUAAACUAGGUCAACCGGGGUUAGAAAGGAGGAGUUAAAUCAUUAACACAAAAUUUUUAAUGGCCGUAUUUUCUGUCAGUCUACAUGAAACCUAGGACAGAGAUUUGACUAAAUACUAGAUUUUGGCAAAAGAUGCUUUCUUUAAAAUUGAAGUUUGCUCAUAUUAUGAACAUUAGAGUAUGAGCUUUUGUUUAAUAUAUAUACCUUUUUAAAAUGCUAAAUCAAGAAAAGAACAUGUCCGAGUCGGGAAUCAACCCGGUUUGCUAAGGCAAUAAAAACGUUUCUUCAUUUACCAAUGCACCAUAGAGGAAUUUGUACUCAAAGAGCUGGGGUGUAAGUCAAAUAUUAGAAGAAAUAUCAGCAUGUUGUUAGAUUAGUUUCAGAACUGACUGGAGGUAGGUCACUAGAUCAAAUGAUAGAAAGAAAUGUUAAUACUUCCCAUUGUCAUUGUCAAGUUUUUGCAUUAAUGGGAUCAAAUCUAUGUUAGACAAACGACAUAACCCAUAACUAUGGCCAUCUUGGUCAGCAAAGAAGACUUUGACAUCCAGCAAGGUGAAUCCUAACAUUUUGAGCUUUCUUUUUUCUAUCUGUUGUGAAAAAUGUAUAGAUAAUAUAUGUGAAUGUAUAUCUAAAUGUUGUUCUAAUUUCUCUUAUUGUGGUACUUACUAAAUAAAAAUAGAAAUAAUCGUUUA